UACGAAGGGGGCUAGCGUUGCUCGGAAUCACUGGGCGUAAAGGGUGCGUAGGCGGGUCUUUAAGUCAGGGGUGAAAUCCUGGAGCUCAACUCCAGAACUGCCUUUGAUACUGAAGAUCUUGAGUCCGGGAGAGGUGAGUGGAACUGCGAGUGUAGAGGUGAAAUUCGUAGAUAUUCGCAAGAACACCAGUGGCGAAAGCGGCUCACUGGCCCGGUACUGACGCUGAGGCACGAAAGCGUGGGGAGCAAACAGG
rnacentral:rRNA from 1 species